rnacentral:ncRNA from 1 species
AAAAUAUUUAAUUAUAGUAUGAAAAUUAUAUGUAUUAUAUUAUUUUAUAUAUGAAUUUUGUUUUAAUAAAAUUUUAGUAGUAUAUAAUUUUAAAUUUAAAAUAAGUUUUGAUUUAGAUAAUAAUUUAAAAUUGACUAAGUUUGUGCCAGCAGUUGCGGUUAUACAAACAAUUUUAUAUAAUUUUUUUAGUUAAAAUUAGGUGGAAAUUUUUAAUUUGUAUUAAGUUUUUAAGGUGAAAUUUUAAAUUUAAUUAGUUAUAUUUAUAUAAAUUGAUUUUGUAAAAUUAAAUUAUAAACUAGGAUUAGAUACCCUAUUAUUUUAAUUGUGAUUUUUUAAACUAAAUGAUUAAUAGUUAAGUUCUUUAAAGUUAAAUAAUUUGGCGGUAUUUUAGUCUUUUCAGAGGAACCUGCCCUAUAAUUGAUAAUCCACGUUUAAAUUUACUUAAAUUAGAAAUUUAUAUAUCAUCGUGAAAAAUAUUUUUUUAGAAAUUAAUAUUUUAAAAAUAAGAUUUUAUUAGAAUUCAGAUCAAGGUAUAGUUUAUAUUUAAGAAGUGGUGGGUUACAAUAAAUUUAUUUUUGGAAAUAAAAUUUUAAAUUUUAUAGAAAUUGGAUUUGAAAGUAAUUAAAUUUAUAUUUUUUUAAUGAUUAAGCUCUAAAAUAUGCACAUAUCGCCCGUCGCUUUCAUUUUUUUAAAGUGAAAUAAGUCGUAACAAAGUAGACUUACUGGAAAGUGAGUCUAGAAGACA